rnacentral:rRNA from 1 species
UACGUAGGUGGCAAGCGUUAUCCGGAAUUACUGGGUGUAAAGGGUGUGUAGGCGGGAAUGCAAGUCAGACGUGAAAACUUAAGGCUCAACCUUAAGCCUGCGUUUGAAACUGUGUUUCUUGAGAGUGGGAGAGGUAAACGGAAUUCCUAGUGUAGCGGUGAAAUGCGUAGAUAUUAGGAGGAACACCAGUGGCGAAGGCGGCUUACUGGACUGUAACUGACGUUGAGGCUCGAAAGCGUGGGGAGCAAACAGG